ACAAAUACUUUAUCUCAUGAAC
rnacentral:snRNA from 1 species